rnacentral:rRNA from 1 species
UGAGUAAUGCAUAGAUAAUGUGCCCCUUAGUUCGGGAUAGCCACUGGAAACGGUGAUUAAUACCGGAUACUCCUUCUUGUUAUAAGACAAGUCGGGAAAGUUUUUCGCUAAGGGAUCAGUCUAUGUUCCAUCAGCUUGUUGGUGAGGUAAUGGCUCACCAAGGCUAUGACGGAUAUCUGGUUUGAGAGGAUGAUCAGACACACUGGAACUGAGACACGGUCCAGACUCCUACGGGAGGCAGCGGUGAGGAAUAUUGCACAAUGGAGGAAACUCUGAUGCAGCAACGCCGCGUGGAGGAUGACGCAUUUCGGUGUGUAAACUCCUUUUAUUAGGGAAGAUAAUGACGGUACCUAAUGAAUAAGCACCGGCUAACUCCGUGCCAGCAGCCGCGGUAAUACGGAGGGUGCAAGCGUUACUCGGAAUCACUGGGCGUAAAGGGUGCGUAGGCUGGCUUUUAAGUCAGAUGUGAAAUCCAAUGGCUCAACCAUUGAACUGCAUUUGAAACUGAAAGCCUAGAGUUCAGAAGGGGCAGAUGGAAUUAGUGGUGUAGGGGUAAAAUCCGUAGAUAUCACUAGGAAUAUCAAAAGCGAAGGCGAUCUGCUGGGAUGAU